UCCCACCCCCUCUCGCCUCCCUUUCUAUUUUCUCUCUUCUUUCUCUCAUUUUUUCAGCCUCCAUUAAUCAUAAAACCUUGCACAAAUCCGUACAAGGUCAAUAAAUCAGCCAUGAAUUCAUUCAUUUUGUCUUCCCCAAUCGCGAAUCUCGCCGAUUUCAUUCCCGUUUCAUCACACAAAUUUGAAAUCCCCAAAGCUUAACCCUAGACUCAAAGAUGAAAGUUCAAAUCACCUGAGUUCUGUUAUGAUCUUUCAAAUCGGAACCUAAAAUUACCUUUUGCCUCCUGAAGUCCGUGAAUCCUACUGCAAAUUCCCUUUUUCAAUCACAAAAUUCAAACAUCUAAAUCCUGAAACCCUAGACCCAAAGACACAAUAUCAAAUCUCUGAUUUUUCUCCGUGUUUUAUCAAAUCGGAGCAUGCAUGGAGUUCCUUCUCAGAGUUCAUCAUGAGGAUUCGAUGUCCAGAGGUUAAACUCAGUGACCUCUGGAUAAUAGAGUUUAACCGAUGUUCUUCUGCCUUCGACGAUUCAAUCUCCUUUCUCAGUACUAUCGCCGGUCUAAACUUGAGGUUCCUGGGGUUUAAGCAACUGAAAAGAGCUCUCGUUUGGUCUGCUUCUCUCAAAAAGUGUUAAAACCAGUCGACUUUGUCCAUGGAGAACCAACCCUUCGUUUUGACUUGGAGGAGCGCCAACAUUUUGCAAAAGAAGAGGGAUUGAAUCAAGCAAUUGUGGUUAAAGUUUCUGCUCGUGCACCAGACCUAAAAUCUUUGCGAGCAAUACUGCCCAAGCAACUGGGAAUUAAGGGCCAUUGUUUAACAGGAUUAUUAGCGCCUAGGAAGCUUUUAAUCAGGUGUGAUCAUUAUGAAGAUUUUGUGUUAUCAUUGUCGCGUUCAGUUAAUUAUUUUAUGCACCAUGGAGCAUAACAUCAAUAUAGAGUUUUCCCAUAGUCCAUUGGAUUCAAUCACAAGGAAGAAACGACGAAGGCCGUCGUGUGGAUAUCACUUCCUAAUCUACCUCCAAAUUUGUUUGCGAAGAAGGCUUUGCUGUCAAUAGCUUCCGCAGUUGGUAUUCCUAUUGCAACUGAUAAAGAAAAUCAAACGUGAUCAAGACCUAGCACUGCUAGAGUUAGGGUAAUCCUUGACCUCUCGAAUAACCUUCCUCAAAGAAUAAGGUUGCAACAUGUGGAAAAUAAAUCUAGAAAAGUGUUUGAGUUCUUCCAGGAAAUUAUUUAUGAUAACUUACCUGCUUACUGUAAUGUUUGCAAGCACCAAGGGCAUGAGAAAUAGGUGUGUCGUUUGCUUUUAAAGAAGGUCCAAAAGGAAAACCAGUUGGAUGAUCGUGAUUUUGAAACCAUUGGAGGAAAAUUUAAAGGAGAUUUGAGACUAAUUUUAGAUGCCAAAAAAUUAAGGAAUGUAGCUGAAGGAAUGUGUUUGGUGUCAACAAAUAACAGUGGUGAAAGUUCACAUGCUGCUCGUCAAGGAUCAGAUUAUAAUAAGGAGCAACAUACAGUUUCAGUUAAUGGGAUUAAUACAGUUCCAGUUAAAGUAGUUGUAAGCAGUGGUGUUGAGGAGUUGCAAAUCGAUGUGCACGCUAUUAAAGAUACUAACGUUUACAAUGUUGCACCUAGGCAACCUCAAAAACUGUUAGCAAAAACUAAUGCUACAAUUUAUCUUAUUAACCAUAAAUCUAAAGCUGAUGUUUUGAAAAAACCAAACGUGACUCAAGAUUGUGGUGUCAUUCCAGUUGCGGCAGCUCUAACGAGAGUUUAUCAGGAUUUAAGGGCUACUAAUGUUCAUGAUGAUGCUGGAGGUUCAACUUAGGAUAAGGAAUCUGCUGGUGUUGGAAAAAAAAAACUGAAGCUGUGCAUCAACUAAAAAAGGAACUGGGACAACCUAACAUCAAACAUGUCCCUGAUGCAACUGCUGCACGUGAAGAACUAGCUGAAAAACAAGCAUGUUUUAUAGCUACUAUUGUACAUGAUGAGAGAAAAGAACUUGAAGGAGUUGAUGCUUUGGAUAGUGUAACUGGUAUAGAUGAUAAUGCAGUGCUUGAACAAGCAAAAAACUGUCCAAAACAUUCAGCUGACCAUGCCAAUGCUGGGCACACUAGUAAAAUGCAAAGUAAUUUUACUGCAGGACCUGUGCAUGAAGCUGGAAAAAAUACAUCUCAUGGUGAGGUAAAGUUGAUUGAGGUUGAUGUUAUGAGGGCUGGGAAAAUUCUUAAACAUCACAACCAGGUUAAUAAGGGAGCAGAAGCUUUAGAAACAAGGGAACGAAACAAUAAACAUGUUGCUAUUGAUGCUGGUACACUACCUGAUGGUUUGGAGGCUGCAACUGUGAAUGUGGAGGAUCUAGACCACGUUUCCACUUCGUCUAAUGAUGCAACACAUGUGAAUGCAGCACGAGUUGAUUGAAAAAUGGUGGUGAGAUCACCUACAAGGCAUAAUGCAUCUCUAAAAGGGAUGAAACAACAGCAGAUUUCAAGUGCUACAUAUGUUCGACGGAAUCAGCAGCAAGCAGUGACGCAUCGAUCGCCUAAAAAUAGGAGAUCUCCAGGCAUGCAAGACCAGGUAGUAAACUCUAGUAGCAAGAAAGGAGUGGAUGUCAAUAGAGAGGAAGGCUGUUGUUCAGUAACACGCAAAAAGAAGGAAACAUCUGGAAUUAAAUCUCCAGAUCGAGCUGCAGAGAAGAGUUCAAAAAAUGAGAAAGUGCAGAUUGUGGUAUGUGCGGAUGAGUGCAAAGUUUCCAGGAACUCCAUUGCACCUACUAAUGUAAAUCUUACUGCAAUUUGAGCUGAAAUUCUGGAAGGUUUGAAUCCUUUGCAAGUUCUGCCUGGGUUUUUGUCUAAUCCUACGAAGGGACUAUUUCUUCAAGAGGUGAAGGGAAAUAAUGGCAUGGAAGGGGUUGGUUUGAAUACAUCCCAAUAUGAUAUUCCUUCCAAUGAUUUGUUUGAUCGAUCUGGCAACAUGUUACAAGAUUCCAACAACCAACAAACUUUAUCCAUGAUGUCGUCGGCAACAAAAAAGGGAGGGGCUGACCACACAAGAGAAGUACAUGAAGACAUGAUGAGUGAUGCCGAACUAAGUGAUGAACCUGUCCAGAUUUUAAGCGAGCUAUAGGCGACAAUUAGCUCUAAACAUAAGUCAUGGGCUGACCAAGCAGAAGAGUUAGAAGAAGGUGAAGAAGAUUAUGUUGUUGAUUUCCAGGAACAAAACACUCAAGAAACAUGUUCUUCAACACGACGAGGUGAUAACGCUAAGAAAGGAGCAGUAACUGUGUUUGAACAGGUUGUUAGUACUUCACCAAGUGUGCAAAUCAAAACAAAACUAAGUCCUAAUGCUGCUGUUUUUGUUCCUACUGGACAACAUCUACCAGGUACAAAAGAAUCUGCGCCUCUACAGAAAAAAUCGGGUAAGAAUAAAAAAUGCUCAAUUGAAAGAUUGCAUAAUAAAACCUAAUGCCAUGAUUGUGAAGAGGCAUGAACUAUUAGAUAUGGUUGCACAGAAAUGUGUUAUUCAACAACUAGAGAAUAACUUACGUGUUGAAAUUUGGGAAGAAGGCGAAGAAGAAGAUUUGCUUGAUUAUUGCCGAGUUGAGGCGACUAGAUGUGGAGAUUUAUCUCCUACACACAGUGGAAAAAAGAAUAAGGCAUUCACAAGGGAGAAUAGUUGGGAUGAAAAAGUGAAUGAAGGAGUAACACUUAGAAUACUCCCAAUGAGAGAUGCAAAGCGAAAAGGGGCAGCCCCGGCCAUAUCUACAAAGUCCAAUCGAUCGAAGAAGAAAUGAGAAAUUUUGAAGAUUUAUUAAAUAUAGCUGAAGAGGAUUUUAACGAGCUACAAUUUGAAGAACUCACAAGUAUCAUGAAUGAGGGGCAAGAAUCCAAUUUCUACCUCAUUUUAUUUUAUUAUUUUCUAAGCAUUAUCAUAUGUAAUAUCAUCAUAGAGUGUGUUAUAAACUCUAUGAUGAUCAUAGAGUAUUUACUAAUUUCGAGUUCUUAUUUUUUACAAGCUUGCUAAAAGAUGAGGUUGUUCAUGCCUCAAUAGGAAUUGUAAGGUAACACUAGUGUAGCUUUUAGCUUAGUAUGUGUUUGCUAUUAGAGGCAACACUAGUGUAGCUUUUGUCCCCCUUACUUGUACUCUUCCUUUAUGGUUUUUCUUUUACUAUUAAUAAAUAAG